rnacentral:rRNA from 1 species
GAUGAACGCUGGCGGCGUGCCUAAUACAUGCAAGUAGAACGCUGAAGGAAGGAGCUUGCUCUUUCCGGAUGAGUUGCGAACGGGUGAGUAACGCGUAGGUAACCUGCCUGGUAGCGGGGGAUAACUAUUGGAAACGAUGGCUAAUACCGCAUAACAGUAGAUGUUGCAUGAUAUCUACUUAAAAGGUGCAAUUGCACCACUACCAGAUGGACCUGCGUUGUAUUAGCUAGUUGGUGAGGUAACGGCUCACCAAGGCGACGAUACAUAGCCGACCUGAGAGGGUGAUCGGCCACACUGGGACUGAGACACGGCCCAGACUCCUACGGGAGGCAGCAGUAGGGAAUCUUCGGCAAUGGACGGAAGUCUGACCGAGCAACGCCGCGUGAGUGAAGAAGGUUUUCGGAUCGUAAAGCUCUGUUGUAAGAGAAGAACGAGUGUGAGAGUGGAAAGUUCACACUGUGACGGUAUCUUACCAGAAAGGGACGGCUAACUACGUG